CAUUUUCAACGCAUCAUUUGUCUGCUUCGUUUUCUCCAUUACUUCCUCCUUCGGUUGUACAAAAAAAUAACGAUGCAUCACCACAAUUGCAACGAACAUCGAUCGUAAAAACACCACAACAAGCACCACAACUAGCACCACAACUAACACCACAACUAACACCACAACAAACUCCACAACAAACACCCCAACAAACUUCACAACAAGCACCGCAACAGACACCCCAGCAAACACCACAACAAACACCUCAACAAGCACCACAACAAACUCCACAACAAACACCACAACAAACAACUCAACAAGCACCACAACUAUCACCACAACAAACUCCACAACAA
rnacentral:lncRNA from 1 species